rnacentral:rRNA from 1 species
AAAGCCGGAUUAAUACCGCAUACGCUCUGUGGAGGAAAGCGGGGGAUCUUCGGACCUCGCGCUCAAGGGGCGGCCGAUGGCAGAUUUUUUAGUUGGUGGGGUAAAGGCCUACCAAGGCGACGAUCUGUAGCUGGUCUGAGAGGACGACCACCCACACUGGGACUGAGACACGGCUCAUACUCCUACGGGAGGCAGCAGUGCGGAAUUUUGGACAAUGGGGGCAACCCUGAUCCAGCAAUGCCGCGUGUGUGAAGAAGGCCUUCGGGUUGUAAAGCACUUUUGUCCGGAAAGAAAACCUCUGGGUUAAUACCCUGGGGGGAUGACGGUACCGGAAGAAUAAGCACCGGCUAACUACGUGCCAGCAGCCGCGGUAAUACGUAGGGUGCGAGCGUUAAUCGGAAUUACUGGGCGUAAAGCGUGCGCAGGCGGUUCGCU